rnacentral:rRNA from 1 species
ACUACGGGUGGCAGCAGUGGGGGAUAUUGCACAAUGGGGGGAACCCUGAUGCAGCGACGCCGCGUGGGUGAAGGAGCGUUUCGGCGCGUAAAGCCCUAUCGGCAGGGAAGAAGGAGGACGGUACCUGACUAAGAAGCCCCGGCUAAAUACGUGCACGCAGCCGCGGUAAUACGUAGGGGGCAAGCGUUAUCCGGAUUUCCGGGGUGUAACGGGGGCGCAGACGGCAGCGUAUGCCCGGGGUGAAAGCCCGGGGCCCAACCCCGGGACGGCUCUUGGAACUGGUCGGGUGGGGUGCAGGAGGGGAAGGCGGAAUUCCGGGUGUAGCGGUGAAAUGCGUAGAUAUCAGGAGGAACACCGGUGGCGAAGGCGGCCUUCUGGACUGCGACUGACGUUGAGGCCCGAAAGCGUGGGGAGCAAACAGGAUUAGAUACCCCUGUAGUC